AGAUCUGCUGCUCUAUGUGGGUCUGGUUCUUUCCAUCCUGAUCAUCAUACUAGCAGCAGCUCUGCUGAUUUUUUUCAAGAAAAGAAGCUUUGGUCCACAGAAAGUGAAAACAGAGUUUGCUGAUACUGCAAUGGUCGACAGAGUUUAUGAGGAGAUCAGAGACCAGGACAGAGAAAACAAACCACCUCCUGAGGAAUUAGCUUCAGUUGAUGUUUACGCCAAACCCUGCAACCCAAACUCAGCUGAAAGCAACGAUAUAUACAGCCUCGCCAGCAG